AACGAACGCUGGCGGCAUGCCUAACACAUGCAAGUCGAACGAGGCCUUCGGGUCUAGUGGCGCACGUGUGCGUAACGCGUGGGAACCUGCCCUUAGGUUCGGAAUACCUCCCCGAAAGGGGUUCUAAUACCGGAUAAUGUCUUCGGACCAAAGAUUUAUCGCCUUUUGAUGGGCCCGCGUUGGAUUAGCGAGUUGGUAGUGUAAAAGCCUACCAAGGAGACGCUGCAUAGCUGGUCUGAGAGGAUGAUCAUCCACACUGGAACUGAGACACGGCCCAGCAUCCGACGGGAAGGAGCAGUGGGGAAUACUGGACAAUGGGCGAAAGCCUGAUAAAGCAAUGCGGCGUAAGAGAGGAAGGCGGUAGGGUUGUAAAGCUCUUUUACCCGGGAGGAUAAUGACAGUACCGGGAGAAUAAGCACCGGCUAACUACGUG
rnacentral:rRNA from 1 species